rnacentral:rRNA from 1 species
GACGAACUGUCCUAACGUUGUUCGGAAUCACUGGGCUUAAAGGGCGCGUAGGCGGGCUAUCAAGUCCGGGGUGAAAUCCUCCAGCUCAACUGGAGAACGGCCUCGGAUACUGAUGGUCUCGAGGAGGAUAGGGGCACACGGAACUGUGGGUGGAGCGGUGAAAUGCGCAGAUAUCAGGAGGAACACCGGUGGCGAAGGCAGCUCGCUGGGACGUUACUGACGCUGAGACGCGAAAAGCGUGGGGAGCAAACAGG